GACGAACGCUGGCGGCGUGCUUAACACAUGCAAGUCGAACGGAAAGGCCCUGCUUUUGUGGGGUGCUCGAGUGGCGAACGGGUGAGUAACACGUGAGUAACCUGCCCUUGACUUUGGGAUAACUUCAGGAAACUGGGGCUAAUACCGGAUAGGAGCUCCUGCUGCAUGGUGGGGGUUGGAAAGUUUCGGCGGUUGGGGAUGGACUCGCGGCUUAUCAGCUUGUUGGUGGGGUAGUGGCUUACCAAGGCUUUGACGGGUAGCCGGCCUGAGAGGGUGACCGGCCACAUUGGGACUGAGAUACGGCCCAGACUCCUACGGGAGGCAGCAGUGGGGAAUAUUGCAUAAUGGGCGGAAGCCUGAUGCAGCAACGCCGCGUGCGGGAUGACGGCCUUCGGGUUGUAAACCGCUUUCGCCUGUGACGAAGAGUGAGUGACGGUAAUGGGUAAAGAAGCACCGGCUAACUACGUG
rnacentral:rRNA from 1 species